rnacentral:rRNA from 1 species
GCUGAGGCGCGAAAGUGUGGGGAGCAAACAGGAUUAGAUACCCUGGUAGUCCACACUGUAAACGAUGAAUGCUAGGUGUAGGGGGUAUCGACCCCUUCUGUGCCGCAGUUAACACAAUAAGCAUUCCGCCUGGGGAGUACGGCCGCAAGGUUGAAACUCAAAGGAAUUGACGGGGGCCCGCACAAGCAGCGGAGCAUGUGGUUUAAUUCGACGCAACGCGAAGAACCUUACCAGGUCUUGACAUCCAGUAAAAGCCAUAGAGAUAUGGUGUGAGCUUGCUCAUACUGAGACAGGUGGUGCAUGGUUGUCGUCAGCUCGUGUCGUGAGAUGUUGGGUUAAGUCCCGCAACGAGCGCAACCCUUAUUUUCAGUUACUAACGCGUAGAGGCGAGGACUCUGAAGAGACUGCCGGGGACAACUCGGAGGAAGGUGGGGACGACGUCAAAUCAUCAUGCCCCUUAUGACCUGGGCUACACACGUGCUACAAUGGCCACCACAGAGAGGAGCGAACCUGCGAGGGGGAGCGGAUCUCAAAAAAGUGGUCCCAGUUCGGAUUGUGGGCUGCAACCCGCCCACAUGAAGUCGGAGUGCUAGUAAUCGC